AUUGAACGCUGGCGGCAGGCCUAACACAUGCAAGUCGAACGGUAACAGGAAGAAGCUUGCUUCUUUGCUGACGAGUGGCGGACGGGUGAGUAAUGUCUGGGAAACUGCCUGAUGGAGGGGGAUAACUACUGGAAACGGUAGCUAAUACCGCAUAACGUCGCAAGACCAAAGAGGGGGACCUUCGGGCCUCUUGCCAUCGGAUGUGCCCAGAUGGGAUUAGCUAGUAGGUGGGGUAACGGCUCACCUAGGCGACGAUCCCUAGCUGGUCUGAGAGGAUGACCAGCCACACUGGAACUGAGACACGGUCCAGACUCCUACGGGAGGCAGCAGUGGGGAAUAUUGCACAAUGGGCGCAAGCCUGAUGCAGCCAUGCCGCGUGUAUGAAGAAGGCCUUCGGGUUGUAAAGUACUUUCAGCGGGGAGGAAGGGAGUAAAGUUAAUACCUUUGCUCAUUGACGUUACCCGCAGAAGAAGCACCGGCUAACUCCGUGCCAGCAGCCGCGGUAAUACGGAGGGUGCAAGCGUUAAUCGGAAUUACUGGGCGUAAAGCGCACGCAGGCGGUUUGUUAAGUCAGAUGUGAAAUCCCCGGGCUCAACCUGGGAACUGCAUCUGAUACUGGCAAGCUUGAGUCUCGUAGAGGGGGGUAGAAUUCCAGGUGUAGCGGUGAAAUGCGUAGAGAUCUGGAGGA
rnacentral:rRNA from 1 species